rnacentral:rRNA from 1 species
UACGAAGGGGGCUAGCGUUGCUCGGAAUCACUGGGCGUAAAGCGCACGUAGGCGGCUUUCUAAGUCAGGGGUGAAAUCCUGGAGCUCAACUCCAGAACUGCCUUUGAUACUGAGGAGCUUGAGUCCGGGAGAGGUGAGUGGAACUGCGAGUGUAGAGGUGAAAUUCGUAGAUAUUCGCAAGAACACCAGUGGCGAAGGCGGCUCACUGGCCCGGUACUGACGCUGAGGUGCGAAAGCGUGGGAGCAA